UGUAUUUAAGCUGUUGGGCAGGAGUUCUCUUUUUGUUAAGGUGCUGAGCUGGUGAGAGGUAGUCCUGAAGCUGGGCCGCCAUCCUACCAUCACAAGGGCAGAGCCUGCCUGAAGGUGGAUUCAAACUGAAAGAGAAUAAAUUUAAGAAAUGUAAAGAGAUUAGCUGGGCAGCUGGAUUCAGCCAUACCUGAAGCCAUUUACUCCUAUUAGGUCUACUGUGCGCCAGGCACUGUUCUAGAGAGCUUCCAUUCUACUGGGAGAGCUGAGCCUAACUCUGCCAGAUUGAAGGUUUGUGGCAAUCCUGCGUCAAACAUAUCAGCACCUUGUCUCCAACAGCAUAUGCUCACUU
rnacentral:lncRNA from 1 species